UUGGAGGGCAAGUCUGGUGCCAGCAGCCGCGGUAAUUCCAGCUCCAAUAGCGUAUAUUAAAGUUGUUGCAGUUAAAAAGCUCGUAGUUGAAUUUCGGGAUUAAUAUAUCGGUCGUGCCAUUGGUACGUACUGGUAUCAUUGGUUUCUCCUUUCUGACGAACCAUGAUGUCAUUAAUUUGGUGUUAUGGGAAGUUAGGACUGUUACUUUGAAAAAAUUAGAGUGUUUAAAGCAGGCUUUGCCUUGAAUACGUAAUGCAUGGAAUAAUGAAAUAGGACGUUCGAACCUAUUUUGUUGGUUUCUAGGAUCAACGUAAUGAUUAAUAGGGAUAGUUGGGGGCAUUAGUAUUCAAUUGUCAGAGGUGGAAUUCUUGGAUUUAUUGAAGACUAACUACUGCGAAAGCAUUUGCCAAGGAUGUUUUCAUUAACCAAGAAUGAAAGUUAUGGGAUCGAAGACGAUCAGAUACCGUCGUAGUCUUAACCAUAAACUAUGCCGACUAGGGAUCGGAUGAUGUUAAUUUUUUAAUGACUCAUUCGGCGCCUUACGGGAAAC
rnacentral:rRNA from 1 species